rnacentral:misc_RNA from 1 species
UUCUAGUCUGCAGCCCGACUUGAGUGGAGCUCUCCCCCGUCCUAUGACGGGGGAAGCGGGAACGGAAGGCGCAUGAAGC